UACGUAGGGUGCAAGCGUUAAUCGGAAUUACUGGGCGUAAAGCGUGCGCAGGCGGUUAUGUAAGACAGGUGUGAAAUCCCCGGGCUUAACCUGGGAACUGCAUUUGUGACUGCAUAGCUAGAGUACGGUAGAGGGGGAUGGAAUUCCGCGUGUAGGCAGUGAAAUGGCGUAGAUAUGCGGAGGAACACCGAUGGCGAAGGGCAAUCCCCGUGGACCUGUACUGACG
rnacentral:rRNA from 1 species